rnacentral:rRNA from 1 species
GACGAACGCUGGCGGCGUGCUUAACACAUGCAAGUCGAACGGAAAGGCCCUGCUUUUGUGGGGUGCUCGAGUGGCGAACGGGUGAGUAACACGUGAGUAACCUGCCCUUGACUUUGGGAUAACUUCAGGAAACUGGGGCUAAUACCGGAUAGGAGCUCCUGCUGCAUGGUGGGGGUGGGAAAUUUUCGGCUGGUGGGGAUGGACGGGCGGCUUAUGAGCUUGUUGGUGGGGUAGUGGCUUACCAAGGGUUUGACUGGCAGCCGGCAUGAGAGGGUGACCGGCGACAUGAGUACUGAGAGACGGCCCAGACGCCUAUGGGGGGCAGCAGUGGGGAGUAUUGCACAGUGGGCGGACGCGUGAUGCAGCAACGUCGCGUGCGGGAAGACGGCCUUUGGGUUGUAAACCGCUUUAGCCUGUGACGAAGCGGGAGUGACGGUAAUGGGUAAAGAAGCACCGGCUAACUACGUG